CAAUAGCGUAUAUUUAAGUUGUUGCAGUUAAAAAGCUCGUAGUUGGAUUUCUGUUGAGGACGGCCGGUCCGCACUAUGUGCGUGUAUCUGGUUCGGCCUCGGCAUCCUCUCGAAAGCCGUUUCUGCGCUUGAUUGCGUGGUUCGGACUUCGGGACUUUUACUUUGAGGAAAUUAGAGUGUUCACGGCAGGCAAGCGCCUUGAAUAUAUUAGCAUGGAAUAAUAAUAUAGGAUCUUGGUCCUAUUUUGUUGGUUUCUAGGGCUAAGAUAAUGAUUAAUAGGGACAAUUGGGGGCAUUCGUAUUAACGCGUCAGAGGUGGAAUUCUUGGAUUGCGUUACGACGAACUACUGCGAAAGCAUUUGCCAAGGAUGUUUUCAUUGA
rnacentral:rRNA from 1 species